rnacentral:lncRNA from 1 species
GUGAGCAGGAGGAGGAGAGGCUGAGCUGGACACGCAGGGCAGUCGUGGUGGCUGCAGAGCAUGGUGAUGGUGGCCCCUGCCCCAAGGGCCUCUCAUUGAGGCCAGCAGCUCAGCUGCUGCAGGUCCGAGUGGACCCUGUGGCACAUGGGGCCCUCCCCGCACUGCGGCAGACGGUGCUACAGCCACAAUGAUGAGACUGGGGCUGCAGGAGCAGCUGAUUCCAUCUUGCCCUGCAGGAAAGACUGGGAGGCCGUCCCCGUGGUCUCACUGGCCUCUGCAUGGUGACCGGGGUCUCCAGGGGAGUGGCCGGGUGCCCUGUUGGACGUUCUGUAGCGAAUUUGUCUCUGGGAGAAGAGCAGAGAGAUGAAGGCCUCCAUGCCACAGCCCAGGCCGUGUGCAUUUGGUGUUGACCUUGGCCACAGGCCGAGGGCGCGUCUGCGAGGUCUCUGCAUUGCAAGGCCCUUCUCCUCCUGAACUGAAGGCCUUCUUCCUCCUUUCCCCUCCUGAUUCUCUCGCCCUCCUGGUGCAUCCAGGUGCCU